UCUCUGGACUCUCUUUUGAAAAAACUGCAACUAAUCCACACGUUAUUUAUUCAUGAUCCAUUUCAAUAUUAUUCCCUCGUCUAUUUCUAACUCAUCCAAGUGGACUCUUUCCUUCAGAAUUUUGUACUGAAGCUUUGUGUAGUUUAUUUAUCAUCUGAAUAAGCAUGAUACACGUUCUAGCGAUCUCAUUUUAAUUCAUUUGAUCUCCCUAAUAAUAUUUGGUGAUGAGAGCAAAAUUGGAAACUUCCGUUUCUUGUAGUUGGAUUUCUAAUUGUCCGGCUUUGAUCACUUAUUAUAUAGUAUGUUCGUUAUCCUCUCUUGUAUUCGUUAUUAAAUUUUCUGGUGACGUUCAUCGCUUUCCUGUUGAGGAUAAUGCAGACUUACAAAUAAUUAUGUAUUUAUGAAAUCGAUUGAAUGCUAUAAGGUGGGCGUGAGAGUCAAAAAAAUCAGUGCAAUGACCAGACACAAAAUUUGUCGUCGCAUUCUUUUCUUUUGCAUACGCAAAACCUGUUUCAAAGUUACUUCUAUUUUCCAAAAAAAGUGUUUAAUAGAUAAAUUUAUGUAUUAGGCGAAUCUGAGCCCUUUCCAUGUUCAACAAGUUUUCAUCAUCACCUUCACAACUAUUGUUCGCAUAAAAGAACGAACUCACUUCUACACCAAUGCAGAAAUUUCUUGGAAUCUCUGGCGACACAGUUGUUUAACGUUGUUAAUUUUAAAUGUGUUCUUGCUUGCAGCCCAUUUUUCAUUUGCCCAAAUAAGUUAAGUGGGGUUUAAAUCGAGAUGGUAUGGCAGAAGUCUCAGCACAGUAUUCCCUUUGUCUGCUAAAAUAUGAUCAAUCACAUAAUAUUUGUGCUUUGACUUUUUUAAAUUUGGUUAAAUCAAACAGUUGAGCUUUCAACAUGUCACAAAAUGUGAUGUUUCUUUCCAAUAGCCAGGCUUCCAUUUCGUCCUUCUUUGAGUUAGAUGUCGGUUGUUUGUUUAUCUGAGUGUUGUGAUACGAGGCGUUAUCAAUGACCAGAACGGUGGUAAAUUUCGUAUUAGCAUUGUUUUAACCAGCUGACAUAAUUUUUACUGUCAAUUUCAUUAUGAUAAUCUCCAGUUUUCUGCCUAGAUUUUUAUAUGAGAAGUGCUUUUGAAAUACAGCCCGCUUUUCCUCCAGCAUGAACACCUUUUGAUGUUGGCACCAACAAACCAGAAUCACUAUAACCAGUCCAAUUCUUUGGUCUGGUAUGGGUACCAUGAAUGUAAGUCUCGUCUUCAAAUAUGAUUGAAUGUACUCUCUUAGUGCAGUCAGGUACGAUAAGCGCAUAGAUCGUAUAUCGUGCCUCUCAAUGAGCAUCCCUCUGUUUGCCAUGGUCUUAUUCCACCUAAAAACGAGGUCCCUAACAAUUCUUCUGAGGCUUGAACAACUUCCUUUAAAAUCAAUGCCCUCUUUGAGGUUUACAACUACUUUGGGAAGUGUUGGAACAGUUCCCUCCUGUGAAUAGAAAUUAUGGAUGGUGCGCCGAACAACACAUUUAUCAAAGUCGUCUAUUUCAGUUAUUCGCUUAGGGACGUCGUGUUUCUUGCCAGGCGUUCCAGAUGAAGUGACGUGUUCCUCGUGUUCUUCUCGCUUUUUCAAAAUCGUUCUAAUUGUCCUUUGAGACGCUCCAAUAACUUCUGACACUCUUUUCAGCACUUUUUGUAUUUUUUUAAAGUAAACUGGCCAAGCCACUUUAUCUUUACUUCUUGCCUCUGUUUUCAUAAAAUUGCAGAUUUUCGUGACAAUUUCUCGGCUCUGACUGCGUAAUGUUUUGGAACUUAACUUGGAACGAACAGGUGGCAUGUUAACACAGCACAGUCACAAGACAACAAUAUCAGGCUUCAACACUGCUGUACUGACACAGACUGUACUGACUGACGGAAACCCCUUCCUUCCUUCAUUGAGUGGUCCGCAUACUGGGCUCUCCCUACAAGAUCAGCGGCCAAAAACGCUGGAUCGAGUUCUACGUAGGAGUAAAAUUUCAUGAAUGAACCCAUUCAUUCAGAUGCCUACGAAUUUGUGCAGAAUAUUUUGUGGUUGACUGUACAAUGCCUCCGCUUUAUGAAGGUUGUAAUUAUUGUUGGAAGUUUUGUACCUGGUCGUAGAAGGAAAUGUUGAAAACAUCGAGAGAAAUUGGAAGAAAGGUUUGGAUUGGAUUGAACUGACUCUGCGCGGUCCAAUGAUGUAUCUUGGAAUGCCCUAAGGAAUUUCUUGACCAGCUGAAUUACUAUGAACUUUUCAAGGAAUUGUAAGAAGAUUGUUUCUUCUUCAAAUCUAUUCACUAUUGAAGGAGGUUGGCGACAUUAUGAACAGGAUCCUUCCAUCCUUUUCUCGGACUGGGACCUGUUCAUAUAUGUUUCUUAGGCAGGUGAUACAGGGGUCCGCAGUGGCCGAGCGGUCUGAGGCGUGAGCCUUGUGUUGCAGGGACCGUGGUUUCGAAUCCCACUCAAGCCAUGGAUGUUUUUCUGUGUUGUAUUGUCCUGUGUACAGGUAGAGACCUUGCGACGUGCCGAUCCCUCGUCCAAGGAGUCC